GAUGAAGAACGUAGCGAAAUGCGAUAAGUAAUGUGAAUUGCAGAAUUCAGUGAAUCAUCGAAUCUUUGAACGCACAUUGCGCCCGCCAGUAUUCUGGCGGGCAUGCCUGUUCGAGCGUCAUUUCAACCAUCAAGCCCCCGGGCUUGUGUUGGGGACCUGCGGCUGCCGCAGGCCCUGAAAAGCAGUGGCGGGCUCGCUGUCACACCGAGCGUAGUAGAUUUUAUCUCGCUCUGGGCGUGCUGCGGGUUCCGGCCGUUAAACCACCCUUUUAACCCAAGGUUGACCUCGGAUCAGGUAGGAAGACCCGCUGGACUUAAGCAUAUCAAUAAGCGGAGGA
rnacentral:misc_RNA from 1 species